CAGCCGCCGCGGGAAUACGUAGGUCCCGAGCGUUGUCCGGAUUUAUUGGGCGUAAAGCGAGCGCAGGCGGUUAGAUAAGUCUGAAGUUAAAGGCUGUGGCUUAACCAUAGUACGCUUUGGAAACUGUUUAACUUGAGUGCAAGAGGGGAGAGUGGAAUUCCAUGUGUAGCGGUGAAAUGCGUAGAUAUAUGGAGGAACACCGGUGGCGAAAGCGGCUCUCUGGCUUGUAACUGACGCUGAGGCUCGAAAGCGUGGGGAGCAAACAGGAUUAGAUACCCGCGUAGUCCCUGUCUCUUAUACC
rnacentral:rRNA from 1 species